GACGAACGCUGGCGGCGUGCCUAAUACAUGCAAGUAGAACGCAGUUGCGAACGGGUGAGUAACGCGUAGGUAACUGCCUCAUAGCGGGGGAUACCUAUUGAAACCGAUAGUUAAUACCCCAUAUUGUGAGAUGGACGUGCGUUGUGUUAGGUAGUUGGUGAGGUAAAGGCCCACCAAGGCGACGGUACAUAGCCGGGCUGAGAGGGUGAUCGGGCACACUUGGAAUUGGACACGGGCCAGGCUUCUACGGGAGGCAGGCAGAGGGAAUCAUUGGACAUGGGCGGAAAUCUGACUGAGCCACGCCGCGGUAUUGAAGAAGGGUUUUAGAGUGUUAAGCUCCGUUGUUUGAGAAGCGUUACCUAAACAGAAAGGGACGGCUAACUACGUGCCAGCAGCCGCGGUAAUUC
rnacentral:rRNA from 1 species